rnacentral:lncRNA from 1 species
GACACUCCUCAGGUCCCAGAACGGCCGCCCUAUUAAUUUGUCUUUGCCCUGGAAAUGUAUAGAUAAAACCAGGAAGACAAAAAUAAUGUAUACUCUUCAAGAGAUCUUUCCCGGGCAAAUAUAGGUCUCUCAAAUGCCCCCGACCUUAAGUCCUGGAGACCAGGAAGAGACUUGCUUUCUGAGCUAGAAGGAUACUUGGGAAAUACCGAGUCCUCACUCAGCUAAAAGGGAAGUUCCUGGGCUUUGCUCCAAAGCUGCCCCGGAAUGUUUUGGUUGGUUUGGAGAAAAGCUGUGGCGUCUACACCACUUGUUCCAAGCAGGCGGCCCCCUGGUGGCUAACGGGGGGUGAGAAAGCUGGCCACUGAGGAAGAAGUCUGGCGCAGAUGUUAAAAAUUAGGAAGAUCAAAUAAUCUGCUCAAGCUCAGGCCUGGGUACUGGGUGACAGAGGGUAUACUCUUAACCAGCUCAUCAUGCUACCUGCAUGCAACACAAGGAGUUAUUGGAUAGGCACAUGAGGCUGGAAAAGGUAGAAGAUUCUGAGGCCCUGGGCGGGAACUAGUAAGCCACAAUCUGGAAGAGUCUUUUACCACCAUGUGGAGGAGAACUAGAGCACUCAUGUUGAACUAUUACCGAGAAAAGUAAUCAACUUCUUUUGUGUUAAGUCACUGAAAGUAAAAUUUCUAGCUGGACAUAUGGCUCCCCAGAAUGAAGUCUGUGCUCCCUAGCAUCCCUUCAGCAUCUUUGGUGCUACCGGAUAAAUUCUGAGCAAUGGACAUAUAAAGAAGUGUUGUGUGGUUGCAUCUGGGAAGUUCCUUUAUGCUUUGUCCUUUAUUUUUCACCCUCCUCUUCAUGAUGGCUGAACAUUUGUACAAUGGCCAGACCUGGAGAAACCAUCUUGGGGGGACUUGGGAAUGGAGGUCCAGCCUUGGGGAGCAACAAAGUCAGAGGAUCCUAAAUUUCAUGAAGGAGGAUCCUGGAACUUGGGCUUAUAGACUUUUAAAUGAGAGAAGAUAAAAAAAAGAAAGGCCUAUUUCAUUUAAGAAAUGAAUAGUUUUUAUUUUUCUAUUACUUCUAGUCAAAUCUAAUUCCAUUUCCUAUUUGGCUGUGACAGCAGAUCCUUGUGCAGUGACUGACACAUAGUGGGUGUUCAAUAGAUGUUUGAAGCAAUCUGGGAGGUAUCCCUGAUACCUUCUCCUUCCCCAUAUCCAACUCAGCAUUGAUGUCUAUCAGUUUUACCUUCUGACAUCUCUCAAAUCUGUGCACUUGUCUUAAUCUCCCUCCACCCAUGUGAGCUGAAGCUUCUCUAGACCUUGUGUUGCCUAGGCUACUCAAAAGCCUUCUAAAUGGUCUCAUCACAUCACAUCC